rnacentral:misc_RNA from 1 species
GAUGAAGAACGCAGCGAAAUGCGAUAAGUAGUGUGAAUUGCAGAAUUCAGUGAAUCAUCGAGUCUUUGAACGCACAUUGCGCCCCCUGGUAUUCCGGGGGGCAUGCCUGUCCGAGCGUCAUUACAACCCUCAAGCUCAGCUUGGUGUUGGGCCCCGCCGCCCCGGCGGGCCCUAAAGUCAGUGGCGGUGCCGUCCGGCUCCGAGCGUAGUAAUUCUUCUCGCUCUGGAGGUCCGGUCGUGUGCUCGCCAGCAACCCCCAAUUUUUUUCAGGUUGACCUCGGAUCAGGUAGGGAUACCCGCUGAACUUAAGCAUAUCAAUAAGCGGAGGA